CUGGGACUGAGAUACGGCCCAGACUCCUACGGGAGGCAGCAGUGGGGAAUUUUGGACAAUGGGCGAAAGCCUGAUCCAGCAAUGCCGCGUGUGUGAAGAAGGCCUUCGGGUUGUAAAGCACUUUUGUCCGGAAAGAAAUCCUUGGCUCUAAUACAGUCGGGGGAUGACGGUACCGGAAGAAUAAGCACCGGCUAACUACGUGCCAGCAGCCGCGGUAAUACGUAGGGUGCGAGCGUUAAUCGGAAUUACUGGGCGUAAAGCGUGCGCAGGCGGUUUGCUAAGACCGAUGUGAAAUCCCCGGGCUCAACCUGGGAACUGCAUUGGUGACUGGCAGGCUAGAGUAUGGCAGAGGGGGGUAGAAU
rnacentral:rRNA from 1 species